CAGUCGCCGCGGGAAUACAGAGGGUGCGAGCGUUAAUCGGAUUUACUGGGCGUAAAGCGUGCGUAGGCGGCUUCUUAAGUCGGAUGUGAUAUCCCUGAGCUUAACUUAGGAAUUGCAUUCGAUACUGGGAAGCUAGAGUAUGGGAGAGGAUGGUAGAAUUCCAGGUGUAGCGGUGAAAUGCGUAGAGAUCUGGAGGAAUACCGAUGGCGAAGGCAGCCAUCUGGCCUAAUACUGACGCUGAGGUACGAAAGCAUGGGGAGCAAACAGGAUUAGAUACCCGGGUAGUCCCUGUCUCUUAUAC
rnacentral:rRNA from 1 species